AGUGAACGCUGGCGGUAGGCCUAACGCAUGCAAGUCGUACGGCAGCACAGUAAGAGCUUGCUCUUACGGGUGGCGAGUGGCGGACGGGUGAGGAAUACAUCGGAAUCUACUUUUUCGUGGGGGAUAACGUAGGGAAACUUACGCUAAUACCGCAUACGACCUACGGGUGAAAGCAGGGGAUCUUCGGACCUUGCGCGAUUGAAUGAGCCGAUGUCGGAUUAGCUAGUUGGCGGGGUAAAGGCCCAUCAAGGCGACGAUCCGUAGCUGGUCUGAGAGGAUGAUCAGCCACACUGGAACUGAGACACGGUCCAGACUCCUACGGGAGGCAGCAGUGGGGAAUAUUGGACAAUGGGCGCAAGCCUGAUCCAGCCAUACCGCGUGGGUGAAGAAGGCCUUCGGGUUGUAAAGCCCUUUUGUUGGGAAAGAAAAGCAGCAGGUUAAUACCCCGCUGUUCUGACGGUACCCAAAGAAUAAGCACCGGCUAACUUCGUG
rnacentral:rRNA from 1 species